UACAGAGGGUGCAAGCGUUGUUCGGAAUCAUUGGGCGUAAAGGGCGUGUAGGCGGUUUGUUAAGUCAUGUGUGAAAUCCCUCGGCUCAACCUCGAGACGUCGGCGGAAACCAUCUGGCUAGAGUCCGGAAGAGGAGAGUGGAAUUCCUGGUGUAGCGGUGAAAUGCGCAGAUAUCAGGAAGAACACCCGUGGCGAAGGCGGCUCUCUGGGACGGUACUGACGCUGAGACGCGAAAGCGUGGGGAGCGAACAGG
rnacentral:rRNA from 1 species